CGGGCGGCCAUAUUCCCCAAUACAGGAGUUGGGAGCACACCAAUAAAAUGCUCUCAGCUCCUGCCGCGGGGAAUUUGGUCCUUCCUUCACCCCCUUUAUCAAGGUCCCUCACAUGCGGCAGUAGAAGUGGCCAACCCACCUUCCCGGAGCCGCGGAGCCCGGGAGCAGCGGCGGGACUGGGAUCAGAGGAGCCGCGGUGGCCCGCCAGGCAUGGCAGCUGCUCCGGAGCCGGGAGAGACAUCAGAAUGCCGCAAAAAAACAUGGCACACAGGUCCUGAGAGAAACCUGCUCCAGCUCUUUCUGGGCAUCGACCUGCUCCACCAUGGACCACCAUGUGCUGCAGCGUGUCAACUGCCUCACCAUGGUCUUAGCCAUGGACUGUAGAAGAAUGUCUGUUCCAGUGCAGGGACCACCUCCUUCUGCUUCUUCUCUGGCUUUAGGAUCUUAAUUCAUCUAUACUGUUCAAGAAGACAACACCAGAAAAGCAAACUUUCUAUAUGUACAAG